GUGGAAUAAAGGUAUUUUUAGUCCUAUACCUUUCUCAUCAACCUACUUUAAUUGUAGAUUGGCCAUAAAUUAAAUGUUUUCCCCAGGUCAAGUCUGUUUCUUGCUUGUGAUGGUGGAUGAUCUCCCUGUCCUCAUCCCAAUCCUGAAGCUAUUUCAUCAUAUAUUCUCUCCCUGCCCUGUUUCAGGACAGGGAGUGCAAGCAGUUUGGCAGCCAGACGAGGUUAACCCAGCACCAGAGGUUUAGUCACAUGCAAGUGAGAGCUAUUGCCUCAACUUAAAUGGGAGAAAACAUUUUAGCAGGUUGAGUCUCACCUUGUUUAUCCAGAUUAUACAGCCAUGCCAGCACAUGGGCUGCAUGCAGCCUGGCCCAACCCAUCCUCUAGCCACCCCCUGCCCCAUACUGAAAAUGCAGCGGCUCUGCCCUGCCAAGCUGCCAAGCCUGGCUCCAGGCACUCACCCAUUGCUUACAAACAACAAAACGUCAGCGUGUGAGCGCGCCCUGUGAGCUGCAACUGGCAUGGGGAGGGCACAGUCAGCACAAAUACAUGACCUGCAAAUUUUCACAUGGAAUGUAUGGAGUUGCAAUCAGAUACUCAGCUCAAAAAAUUUAAUCAUGGCUCCUUACCUGUCUUUUUUUUAACCUUUCUCUUAGCUCAGAGAGGUAUACCUCACUUCACAAUCAUGCCGUAUUCAUGUCAUUGCUUUCUGGCAGUACGUACGUUUGUGAACAGCUGUUUUCAAGGGUGAUGCACAGGAAGAGUAAAAUUUCAUUAAAAAAUCUCCAAGGAGCACAUGGAGAGCUCACUCAGAAGCCUCACCGCUGCCACUGAACAAGACUGAUGCAUUAGUUUCAUGAAAUCAAGGCUAUGUGUCCCACUGGUUUCAUUAUUUUGUUACUCUUUCUUUAAAACAAAAAAAUUGUUUUAUUGCUUAUAUACAUCAACUAUGUUGUUAUAUAUUUUCCAAAGGCCGCUCCAAAAGUAAUGCCUCCUGUUUCAUUCUGUUGGCCCACCGUGUCAGAGGCAGAUGGUGGUACGGCAGUAGAGAUGGAACCUUCCCACCAAUAUUCCAUUACAUGUUGCCAUGUGAUAGACAGCAGCAGAUGGGCACUCUGACAGAAUGGUAUCUGACAUGGAAGCGUGGAUGGAGCAAAGUUGUGUCACUGAAUUCCUCCAUAAGGAAAUGAGCACCCACUAACAUUCACUGAUGCUUGCUGAACAUUUCUGGAGACCAAACAGUGGAUGUGAGCACAGUGAGGUGGUGGGUGGUGCAUUUCAGCAGUGGUGACAAUGACGUUGGGUCACCUCUGCUGGUGCAGGUUUUGAUGAGUGCAGCCUGUGAGGUCUUGUUCAUCAAUGGAGAAAAUGCACAACUAAUGGUGGUGACUGCUGAAAAAUAGUGUUUUGUAGCUGAGAAUUUUCUCUGUCAAACAGUGCUAAUUGUGCUCUUUGUAUCUGUUGUAGUUUCCAUGGGAAUAAAUAGGAGGCAUUACU
ensembl:lncRNA